rnacentral:lncRNA from 1 species
CUAUGUUGGUUGUCCCUACCUUUGAGACAUGGUCAAUUUGUUAAAUACUAUUCAGACUACAACAUCUUCACUUGAGUAGAUCUCUAUAAAUGCUCUCAUGCUACCUUUAUUUGCUUUAGUAUAUGUCUAGGUUUGGAGUAGUUAUAUUUAUCUCUUAAUUAAGCAUGGUGCUUAGUUUAGGGUUGAUGAUCUUACUUCCAAGGGAGUUUAAAUUAAGCAUGAUGCUUAGGUUAAAAUGCCCUCCUAAAUCAAAUUAGACAUGGUGUCUAGGUUGAUCUUUGAGCCAAUAGUAUGCUAUAGUAGAUAUUGGAUAUUUUGUUGGACUAAUCCCUGCAGGAAAACUUUCAAUAUCGACCUGGGAAGUCCUGAGAUAAACUCAUAUUGGAGACAAAGAGAGAGAUGCAUGAAGGUUAACAAUUUACACAAGGAAGGCAUAGCACACAAGAGAUGAUCCAUAGAGGGUGCUACAAAUACGAUGCACAACCGCUAAGAAAGGAAAGCUUCCACAAGGUGAUAAUGUACCAUCACCCUUCAAGUAAGGUAACAUCUUAAGGUUCUUGACUAUCACUUUUUAUAAGCUUCUCAUUGGUUCUGGCGUUCACAUGAAUAAAAGAGACAAACAUGUAUGAUUUACAACUCUAGAUUAACCAACCCAGUCAAUUCAAUAUGUUUAGUCCUUCCACCUUUGUGACCCCACACUCCUAAUCAUAUAAGCUAAAAUGUUGCACGCUCAAUCUUUGGAUGUGUUGAAUAGUUGCUUUGCGUAAUUUUAAAAUUUGAGUUCUCUCUCAAGUUUAGACAUAACUGUUAUAAUUUAAAAACUAGCUCUAAACCUUAACUUGUGGGAAAGAGAACUUGAUCUGAAGUCUAAGUUGUUAACGGAUACGAUAUGGGAAGGUUGAGCUGCUAUUUAUCUGUUCCUAGAGAUGCUAGAAUUCUGGAGAAUUUUAUCCUUUAAAUCUUUAAAAUAACACAUGAUGAGUUCCUGUAUGAUGAUAGUUUAAAUUUCUACCACAGCCAUAUAUACAUGCUUUCUAGACUUUGAGCCACACAUUUACUUUUUACUGCUUAUGAGCAUUAAGUGUGGUCAAGCUGUGUAGACCCUUAGGAGCUUGUCAUGUGGUUAAAUCAAGAUUCACUUGCACAUUCACUCACACAUGUAGCUUCUACACCAGAAGUAUGCAUCCAUAUAUAUCCACUCAUUUCCAUCUCCAGAGCCACUCAAAAGUAUUCUACUCCUAAUCCGGGAGAGAAUAGCCAAAAACAUUUUUGUUUUUCCCUAUAAUAUAUAUGCUCGAGUUAUAUUGGUUACUACCAGUUGCUAUAUUAUUUCAUGAGAUGAGUGCUCUAAAAAAAGAAAAAAAAUAAUAAAUACGAGGAAAUAAAAAGGAGCAAGUGCCCGGAACCUCGAAAGAAAAGAAAAAGUGAGACUGUUGACGGUCCUUAAUGCUCACAUUUAACCGUCAACUAAUCAUGGAAAAGGAUCAAAAUGCAACCAACACCCAGACUUAGGGUUUUAUCUGACAGAAUUCUACGAGUUUUGGUGUUUGUCUAUUUCUACAGGGGGUUAUCAGGAAAUAUGGAGGAAAGGCCCACACAUCAGCUUUACAUAGAGCUAUUAACGUGCCGCGUAAUUUUUCUACCAUCUAGAAGACUCCAGAAGCCACGGGAACGAACGGGAAGGCAAUCGGGCUCGGAGGCAGGGCGCCCGCCCUACUCUCCUGGGCGCCCGCCCACCUACAGUGCCCAAACAGAGUCCUUUUCGAAGAUCAUGUUCCACCGACCUAAGGGAUCAAGGAAAACCGUGUGAUUAAUGUCGGUUUGAUCCGACGGCCCAGAUUCAUCUUAAAAGACUAUAUAAGCAAGGCCCCCUGGCCCCUGGAGAUCAUACCUCUUGUACAGAAUCAAAGUUAGGGUUUCAAUUCUUCAUCCAAGUAGAGAGGAUCCCUCUAGUUCAUCUAGUUCUACCUCUAGUUCAUCUAGUUCUAGUUCUAGUUCAUCUAGUUCUAGUUCUAGUUCUUCUAGUUCUAGUUCUAGUUAGUUCUAGUUGUAAUCUAGAAAAUAGGGAGAGAGAAGAGGAGAGCGGAGGAAGAGGAGCCGGAUCUGUCGGAUCUUCCUCAACAUUUUACUUUUGCAGCAACUGGUUCGUUCUUCAUCGUUCUCCAGGUUCUUCAACUCAUAAUUCCUGAUUCUUUAAUUACUUUUAUUUACAUUCAAGUUAUUUAUUGGAUUCCCGCUUGCAUCAAGUGCUCUAAUCUUUGCAACAUUAGAGUAGUAAUUAAUAGAUUAGACAUGGUGUUUAGUCUUGUAAUUACCUGGAAUUGCACCCAAUCCUGCGCAUUGUUGUGGUAGCCCUAGGGUAGUGACAGCCCUAACGGUCGACGUAUUCCACUUCGUUCCGAUCGGUGUUUGUAGGACCGUAGUCAGAGCUUCCUAGCCCCCUUCUCAUCUCUUUCUGUGGUUAGUGUUCUGAUGUCCCAAAAUAAAUAAUCUUUGAAGUAAUUCUUGAUUCUUAGAUCAACUAGAAAACUCUUAGGAAACUUCCUCUCUUCCCACCAAAAAAAAUUAUAUAGUUAUCCUUGGGCGAUCUUGAAUCUUAAUUAGUACACUCACGUUCCCUGUGGAAAAUCGAUACUCUGGAAUACUCCCGGGUGAAGGCUACAUCGGCAUCCGUGCGCUUGCGGAUUUUUCUGUUUGCGUUUAAAAUACCCAACAAGCUUUCUAGCACCGUUGCCGGGGAACAAUAGUUGUGCUAGUUUCGAACCAAGUCGUCCGUGUAUCCUUUUUCUUUUCUUUCUUUACCACAUUUACCUUACCAUUUUCACCACACCACAUGGAUUUCACUCCAAGCAUUAAUGAGCAUAGAAUUUAUUUCAUAGCCACUUCAUUUACUCCAUGCUCAUACGCUAUAUCUUCACAAUCCAUUGGUCUCUCCAACAUCACCACAUUCGAGAUCUCCAACCCCCUCUUCCUUUCUAUUUAUAAAAACUUUAAAAGGGCGGUUGUCGAUGCAUAUGUCUAUAAUAAAUUUUACAGAUCUCGUUGAGUUGAUCUUGAUAUAGGUUAGCAUUGGAGGGAAACCACUUCGCUGACAUAAAUUGAUGGUUUCCCAAGGACAAGCUUAGUGUCCUAAAAUAAGCACUGAUCAGAUCGUAACAUGAGCUUUUAAUUAUUUGCAACAUUACCUUGUGUUUUGAGCAUAUAAGGAUAAUUGUAAAAAAAUCCUUCGGGUAUUCUUGUCACUAACCAUUCCAGGAUUGGAGCAAGAAGAUCGGAUGAACGACAAGCACAAGGUAUGUCCAACCAAUCAUCAUACAACAUUGAAUUAAAUUCAUCCAAACUUGAAUUUUGCAAAAUUCAAGCUUGGGGGAGUACUUUACAUUAAAAACAUCCUUUGCCAUGUUGCUAUGUUGGUUGUCCCUACCUUUGAGACAUGGUCAAUUUGUUAAAUACUAUUCAGACUACAACAUCUUCACUUGAGUAGAUCUCUAUAAAUGCUCUCAUGCUACCUUUAUUUACUUUAGUAUAUGUCUAGGUUUGGAGUAGUUUCAUUUAUCUCUUAAUUAAGCAUGGUGCUUAGUUUAGGGUUGAUGAUCUUACUUCCAAGGGAGUUUAAAUUAAGCAUGAUGCUUAGGUUAAAAUGCCCUCAUAAAUCAAAUUAGACAUGGUGUCUAGGUUGAUCUUUGAGCCAAUAGUAUGCUAUAGUAGAUAUUGGAUAUUUUAUUGGACUAAUCCCUGUAGGAAAACUUUCAAUAUUGACCUGGGAAGUCCUGAGAUAAACUCACAUUGGAGACAAAGAGAGAGAUGCAUGAAGGUUAACAAUUUACACAAGGAAGGCAUAGCACACAAGAGAUGAUCCAUAGAGGGUGCUACAAAUACGAUGCACAACCGCUAAGAAAGGAAAGCUUCCACAAGGUGAUAAUGUACCAUCACCCUUCAAGUAAGGUAACAUCUUAAGGUACUUGACUAUCACUUUUUAUAAGCUUCUCAUUGGUUCUGGCGUUCACAUGAAUAAAAGAGACAAACAUGUAUGAUUUACAACUCUAGAUUAACCAACCCAGUCAAUCCAAUAUGUUUAGUCCUUCCACCUUUGUGACCCCACACUCCUAAUCAUAUAAGCUAAAAUGUUGCACGC